CCCCUCCGUAGCAUGGGAUUGGUCCAUUCAAGACCAGGAAGGAGGAGGGGGACCCCUGGAGCACAACAUUUUGAAACUCACAAUGUACUUGAGGUUUGGUGCUUCUCCUCAGAACUGUGGAAUAAUACGGCACUGUUCUAAGUUCUUGGAUACAAAUAUAUGUAAAAAGAAACAUAAUCUCUGUCUUCAAGGAGCUUUUACUCUAAUGGGGAAAGAUAACAUAAAAAGCAGCUGAAAUGCAGAUGGAGAAAGAUAUGUAGAGGGCCAAGAACAAAUUUCAAAAGGAGUAAUGGUAAGAUUAGAGCAAAUUUCAAAAAAUUUUCAUAAGAAUUGUUAAAAUAGCCAUACCUAUAUUUCAUCAGACUUUUUUUUUACUCUGUAGUUUAAAAAAAAUUAAACUGUCAUCAAACUUGUUUUGCUUAGCUUGAAAAAAGUAUAACUAAAACUGUAGGUGGGAAUUUUCAAAUGGAAUCUUACGCUAGAAAUAAUCAAUCUUUGGAGGCAAUGAGUUUGCCCAUAAUUAAGGUCUUUUAUUGGAAUAUAUUCUUAUGGAAUUAUUUGAUUAAUAGGUCUUUGCAUUAUUUUCUGACUGGGAAGUUUUUUGUGAUUAUGUGAACUUAAUGGAAGUAAUAAAUAAAUCUGAGUCAAAGUUAUAAGAAUACA
rnacentral:lncRNA from 1 species